GAUGAAGAACGUAGCGAAAUGCGAUAAGUAAUGUGAAUUGCAGAAUUCAGUGAAUCAUCGAAUCUUUGAACGCACAUUGCGCCCGCCAGUAUUCUGGCGGGCAUGCCUGUCCGAGCGUCAUUUCAACCAUCAAGCCCCCGGGCUUGUGUUGGGGACCUGCGGCUGCCCGCAGGCCCUGAAAACCAGUGGCGGGCUCGCUGUCACACCGAGCGUAGUAGCAAUCACCUCGCUCAGGGCGUGCUGCGGGUUCCGGCCGUUAAACAGCCUUACAAAACCCAAGGUUGACCUCGGAUCAGGUAGGAAGACACGCUGAACUUAAGCAUAUCAAUAAGCGGAGGA
rnacentral:misc_RNA from 1 species